UAGCUCAGUGGUAGAGUAUCUGUAUGGCAAACAUAUGGCCCUGGGCUUGAUCCCCAG
rnacentral:tRNA from 1 species